rnacentral:rRNA from 1 species
GGAUUAGAUACCCUGGUAGUCCACACCGUAAACGAUGAAUGCCAGUCGUCGGGUAGCAUGCUAUUCGGUGACACACCUAACGGAUUAAGCAUUCCGCCUGGGGAGUACGGUCGCAAGAUUAAAACUCAAAGGAAUUGACGGGGGCCCGCACAAGCGGUGGAGCAUGUGGUUUAAUUCGACGCAACGCGCAGAACCUUACCAGCCCUUGACAUGAUGGUUACGAUUUCCAGAGAUGGAUCUCUCAGUUCGGCUGGACCAUCACAGGUGCUGCAUGGCUGUCGUCAGCUCGUGUCG